rnacentral:rRNA from 1 species
AUUGAACGCUGGCGGCAUGCUUUACACAUGCAAGUCGAACGGCAGCGUGGGCUUCGGCCUGGCGGCGAGUGGCGAACGGGUGAGUAAUACAUCGGAACGUGCCCAGUAGUGGGGGAUAGCUCGGCGAAAGCCGGAUUAAUACCGCAUACGACCUGAGGGUGAAAGCGGGGGAUCUUCGGACCUCGCGCUAUUGGAGCGGCCGAUGGCAGAUUAGCUAGUUGGUGGGGUAAAGGCCUACCAAGGCGACGAUCUGUAGCUGGUCUGAGAGGACGACCAGCCACACUGGGACUGAGACACGGCCCAGACUCCUACGGGAGGCAGCAGUGGGUAAUUUUGGACAAUGGGCGAAAGCCUGAUCCAGCAAUGCCGCGUGUGUGAUGAAGGCCUUCGGGUUGUAAAGCACUUUUGGCGGGAACGAAAAGGACUGUGCCAAUACCACGGUUCGAUGACGGUACCCGCAGAAUAAGCACCGGCUAACUACGU